GAUUAACGCUGGCGGCGUGCCUAACACAUGCAAGUCGAGCGGCAGCGAGUUUUACACUGAAUUCUGGAAGCUUCUAGUUGAAAGAGAAGAUUUAUUCAAGAAUUUUGUGUAAAAUGUCGGCGAGCGGCGGACGGCUGAGUAACGCGUGGGAACGUACCCCAAAGUGAGGGAUAACGCAUCGAAAGGUGUGCUAAUACCGCAUAUGGUCUUCGGAUUAAAGCCUUCGGGCGCUUUGGGAACGGCCUGCGUAAGAUUAGAUAGUUGGUGGGGUAAUGGCCUACCAAGUCGACGAUCUUUAACUGGUUGGAGAGGAUGAGCAGUCAGACUGGAACUGAGACACGGUCCAGACUCCUACGGGAGGCAGCAGUGAGGAAUCUUCCACAAUGGGCGAAAGCCUGAUGGAGCAACGCCGCGUGCAGGAUGAAGGCCUUCGGGUUGUAAACUGCUUUUAUAAGUGAGGAUUAUGACAGUAACUUAUGAAUAAGGAUCGGCUAACUACGUG
rnacentral:rRNA from 1 species